AACGAACGCUGGCGGCGUGCUUAACACAUGCAAGUCGAACGCGAAAGGGACUUCGGUCCUGAGUAGAGUGGCGCACGGGUGAGUAACGCGUAAGUAAUCUACCCCUGUAUUCGGAAUAACCUACCGAAAGGUGAGCUAAUACCGGAUACGUUUAUCUUGAUGCGAAUGAUGAUAAAGAAAGGUGGCCUCCUCAUGAAAGCUACUGUACAGGGAUGAGCUUGCGUACCAUUAGCUAGUUGGUAGGGUAAUGGCCUACCAAGGCGGCGAUGGUUAGCGGGUCUGAGAGGAUGAUCCGCCACACUGGAACUGAAACACGGACCAGACUCCUACGGGAGGCAGCAGUGAGGAAUAUUGCGCAAUGGGGGCAACCCUGACGCAGCGACGCCGCGUGGAUGAUGAAGGCCUUUGGGUCGUAAAAUCCUGUCAGAUGGAAAGAAAUGUAAGGUGGCUAAUAUCUGCCUUAUUUGACGGUACCGUCAAAGGAAGCACCGGCUAACUCCGUGCCAGCAGCCGCAGUAA
rnacentral:rRNA from 1 species